UGCGUAGGCGGGUUUUUAAGUCAGGGGUGAAAUCCUGGAGCUCAACUCCAGAACUGCCUUUGAUACUGAAGAUCUUGAGUUCGGGAGAGGUGAGUGGGACUGCGAGUGUAGAGGUGAAAUUCGUAGAUAUUCGCAAGAACACCAGUGGCGAAGGCGGCUCACUGGCCCGAUACUGACGCUGAGGCACGAAAGCGUGGGGAGCAAACA
rnacentral:rRNA from 1 species